AACGAACGCUGGCGGCAGGCCUAACACAUGCAAGUCGAGCGGGGAGCAAUCCCUAGCGGCGGACGGGUGAGUAACGCGUGGGAACGUACCCUUUGCUUCGGAAUAGCCCCGGGAAACUGGGAGUAAUACCGGAUGUGCCCUACGGGGGAAAGAAUUUCGGCAAAGGAUCGGCCCGCGUUGGAUUAGGUAGUUGGUGGGGUAAUGGCCUACCAAGCCGACGAUCCAUAGCUGGUUUGAGAGGAUGAUCAGCCACACUGGGACUGAGACACGGCCCAGACUCCUACGGGAGGCAGCAGUGGGGAAUCUUAGACAAUGGGCGCAAGCCUGAUCUAGCCAUGCCGCGUGAGCGAUGAAGGCCUUAGGGUUGUAAAGCUCUUUCGUGGGGGAAGAUAAUGACGGUACCCAAGAAGAAGCCCCCGGCUAACUCCGUGCCAGC
rnacentral:rRNA from 1 species